UGUUGACGUCAUGGAAGACAAACUAAAGGGCGAAAGUGAACAUCUUCAAAUUCAUCAUUCCGAACAUUGUGAAGUACAGUCCACACUGCAAGCUGCUUAUUGUCUCAAAUGCAGUGGGUAUCUUGACCUAUGUGGCUUGGAAAAUCAGUGGCUUUCCCAAAAGCCAAGUUAUUGGAAGUGGUUGCAAUCUGGAUUCAGCUCGGUUCCAUUGCUUGAUGGGAGAAAGGCUGGGGGUUUACCUGCAGAGCUGUCACGGCUGGGUCCUGGGAUAACAUGGCAACUCCAGUGUGCCUGUGUGGAGUGGUGUGAAGGUUGUCUGCAUCUCCCUGAGGAACUGAAAGGUUACACAUCCUGGGCCAUUGGGCUCUCUAUGAUAGACUUGGCCGAGAGCAUAAUGAAGAACCUUAGGCGGGUGCAUCCCAUUUCCACUAUGAUUACCGGUCUCUAUGGAAUCAUUGAGGAUGUCUUCCUCAGUGUCCCAUAUAUCCUGGGACAAAAUGGAAUCUCGGAUGUUGUGAAGGUGACACUGACUCCCGAGGAAGAGGCCCGCCUGAAGAAGAGUGCAGAUACCCUCUGGGGAAUCCAGGAGGAGCUGCA
rnacentral:lncRNA from 1 species